rnacentral:rRNA from 1 species
UACGGAGGUUGCAAGCGUUGUUCGGAUUUACUGGGCGUAAAGGGAGCGCAGGCGGUUAAUUCAGUCUAAAGUGAAAGUCCGGGGCUCAACCCCGGAAGUGCUUUGGAUACUGGUUGACUUGAGUAUGUGAGAGGAGAGCGGAAUUCCAGGUGUAGCGGUGAAAUGCGUAGAUAUCUGGAGGAACACCGGUGGCGAAAGCGGCUCUCUGGCACAAAACUGACGCUGAGGCUCGAAAGCAUGGGGAGCGAACGGG